GAUGAACGCUGGCGGCGUGCCUAAUACAUGCAAGUCGAGCGAACAGACGAGGAGCUUGCUCCUCUGACGUUAGCGGCGGACGGGUGAGUAACACGUGGAUAACCUACCUAUAAGACUGGGAUAACUUCGGGAAACCGGAGCUAAUACCGGAUAAUAUAUUGAACCGCAUGGUUCAAUAGUGAAAGACGGUUUUGCUGUCACUUAUAGAUGGAUCCGCGCCGCAUUAGCUAGUUGGUAAGGUAACGGCUUACCAAGGCAACGAUGCGUAGCCGACCUGAGAGGAUGAUCGGCCACACUGGAACUGAGACACGGUCCAGACUCCUACGGGAGGCAGCAGUAGGGAAUCUUCCGCAAUGGGCGAAAGCCUGACGGAGCAACGCCGCGUGAGUGAUGAAGGUCUUCGGAUCGUAAAACUCUGUUAUUAGGGAAGAACAAAUGUGUAAGUAACUAGGCACGUCUUGACGGUACCUAAUCAGAAAGCCACGGCUAACUACGUG
rnacentral:rRNA from 1 species